rnacentral:rRNA from 1 species
GAUGAACGCUGGCGGCGUGCCUAAUACAUGCAAGUCGAGCGAACAGACGAGGAGCUUGCUCCUCUGACGUUAGCGGCGGACGGGUGAGUAACACGUGGAUAACCUACCUAUAAGACUGGGAUAACUUCGGGAAACCGGAGCUAAUACCGGAUAAUAUAUUGAACCGCAUGGUUCAAUAGUGAAAGACGGUUUUGCUGUCACUUAUAGAUGGAUCCGCGCCGCAUUAGCUAGUUGGUAAGGUAACGGCUUACCAAGGCAACGAUGCGUAGCCGACCUGAGAGGGUGAUCGGCCACACUGGAACGGAGACACGGUCCAGACUCCUACGGGAGGCAGCAGUAGGGAAUCGUCCGCAAAGGGCGAAAGCCUGACGGAGCAACGCCGCGUGAGUGAUGAAGGUCUUCGGAUCGUAAAACUCUGUUAUUAGGGAAGAACAAAUGUGUAAGUAACUAUGCCCGUCUUGACGGUACCUAAUCAGAAAGCCACGGCUAACUACGUG